rnacentral:rRNA from 1 species
GCACAAGCGGUGGAGCAUGUGGUUUAAUUCGAUGCAACGCGAAGAACCUUACCUGGUCUUGACAUCCACAGAACUUGGCAGAGAUGGAUAGGUGCCUUCGGGAACUGUGAGACAGGUGCUGCAUGGCUGUCGUCAGCUCGUGUUGUGAAAUGUUGGGUUAAGUCCCGCAACGAGCGCAACCCUUAUCCUUUGUUGCCAGCGGUCCGGCCGGGAACUCAAAGGAGACUGCCAGUGAUAAACUGGAGGAAGGUGGGGAUGACGUCAAGUCAUCAUGGCCCUUACGACCAGGGCUACACACGUGCUACAAUGGCAUAUACAAAGAGAAGCGACCUCGCGAGAGCAAGCGGACCUCAUAAAGUAUGUCGUAGUCCGGAUUGGAGUCUGCAACUCGACUCCAUGAAGUCGGAAUCGCUAGUAAUCGUGGAUCAGAAUGCCACGGUGAAUACGUUCCCGGGCCUUGUACACACCGCCCGUCACACCAUGGGAGUGGGUUGCAAAAGAAGUAGG